CAUGAAACUAUAUGUGUUCAGUUUUUUGUGGUUGUUGUUGAUAUUUUAUUACUGCGCAGGAUCUUAUUUACAAUUCUGUAUUUUACGUGUAACUCUUCUUUAACAAAAUGGAAAUUGGAGCGCUUGCAAUUGUUGUGUUUUUAUUUUUAGUUAGAGACUGUCAUUCUAAGUCUAUUCAGCAGCGAAAUGCUUCGGUUGAUGAAUCCCAGGAUGAACGGAUUUAUGCACUGGAAAGUACUAUCAAGAGGUUGGAAGCCAUAGUUGAAAAUGUGACAAAAUCAAAAGGUAAUUUACAUAGCCUUACGUGUAGUUUAUUUUAUUUAUAAAGAAUGAAAUAAAAAUAUCUUGAGAGAAAUCUUGCUAAACACAAUGAUCUGAACAUUUCUCAAAUUAAAGCUAUUUUUCCCUUUAAUUUUUGUACAAGGACUGUCAUUUCAUGUCUUAACUUUACCUUUUUGCCUAGUGCUGAAGUAUUCAACAUACCUUGAACUGAAUAUCGAAGGGCACUGGUUUCCAAAAAUGUUGUUAUACUAGAAUAACUACUUCUGACCAUAACAACAGGACAAAUAUGCCUUCCUUUUUUCAAAUUCCCCCCUUUUUUAAAAGGAGCUUUCCUGCAACAGUGAUUCUACAGUUACUACAAGUCCUUAAGCUUUUAAUUAAUAUAAAAUAGUCCAAAUAUUUUACUUAUUGAAAUGUUACAGCUGUUGUUGAAAAUAUGUACGUACUACCUGUAAUUUCCUGCUAGGUCAGAAUUACUUGUUCAAUACCAUAAGACUUCAUUUCAAAACAAUUGCUGUCCUUCCCUUUAUUCAACGUCCAUAAGCAUGAGCAAUCAAACCUUUGCGAGAGAAAAUUCAUUCAAGUGUUAACUCAAAUAAUCUACUUCGUCUUUGUACUGACAAUUAAGGUUCGACAACAUUUCAAUAUAACAAUUACCUCAAAACGUGUACUAAAGUAUAAAGUUCACACACUUAAACUGUAUUAAUUGACUUACAAUGAGUAUAGUAAAAAGUAUGUCAUUUCUAAAACUUUGUACAAUUUAGACGUAUCGAGGUAAAGAGGAAACACACAUAUUGUAUUAUGUAUAGCUGCCAUUUAUCAACAGCAUUGAUGAAAAAUUGUGUUUUUAUGUGAUAAAAUUAUAGCAAUUCAUAAACUUUGGGUUCAAUUAUUUUCGAAGGUAUUAGUUUUCGUGGAUUAAGGAAAACUUGCAUGUUCGUGGAUAUUUAAUUUCGUGGUCUUGCCAAAUUUUGCGUACAGGCCUAUAUAAAAUAUGACAUUCGUUGUCACUUGUAUCCACGAAAUCCAAAAACGUUAGUAUAUAUAACGAAUAAUAAUUAAUCCAUAGUAUUGUACCUCUAUGAUCUAUUUUUUAAAAUGCUACCCGUAUUUGGUGGUUAAAAACUUGACACCAUAUGAAUGUUUAUUAAGGUAGCUAUACACAGUUAGGAAAAAAGCUUAGAAUUACCACUCAUAAUUUUAAAACUCCCUCUUCUUCGCCUGUCUAAUAAAGAAGGCUUUAUAUGUGUGUUAUGCAUGUAUAUACUUAUAGAAAGAGAAUCUUCCAUAGAUUUGAUUUCUAAUGGUCAUCAGGGUGAAAUAUAAUCCCUUUGGUGUAACAUGGCACAAUUACAUUUCUUAUACAAUUUGCAAAAAAGGGGGGUGAAAUGGUCACAAAGUCUCCAAAAUUUGGUCUAAAGGAUAAUUUCAAUCAAUUACAGUGAUACCUUUCCUGAAUCCAUAGCUCUAUAUCUAUCAAGUGGUAAAAAAAAAUCAUAUGCAUUUCUGCUCGUUUUUCCAUAAAAUUGAAUUGAAAAGAUCGAGCGCAAAAAUCUUUGUUGAUAAACACUACAAUUUAUGGAUCAUGGACGGUACGGAUAGGAAAUACGGACUGUCAAUCAUAUAAAAUGGCUACAAAAUGUUAAAAACAAUCUAAAUGUUCAUAUGACCCACUAAGAAGGCUUUAUUAUUUCUUCAAUUAUCUAAACUCAAUUUAUUGUACAAAAACUUUCAUAUUUAAAAAAAUCACAGGGGCCAUAAUGCGAAACUAAACUUCUAACUGUGUAUUGCUACCUAAAGGACAAAAAUAUUUUAAGUACUGGGACAGAAUCUUUAUCCUGAAAGGCACAUGGUAAGAUUAAUAUUACCUGACCUUACCAUUGACGUAAAUACGUAGAAUUGCGCGUUUGACGUACAUAAGGUAGACGUCACUUAGGUAGAAAUAUAAAAUUAUUUUGUCGUUCAAAGUAUGAACAGACAAUAGUCAAUUGUUCUUUAAUGCAUUUCCUCUGCAGAAUGUUAUUAAAAGUUUUCCCUGUUCUUCUUGCCGCUUGUCUAUUUCCCUAUUGUAAAUGUUUUCAAAAAAGAAAGAACCACGUCAUUACAUCAAAGAAAAUCAAAAUGGCAUAUAGACAAAACAUUAGCAACUAUAAAAGACAAGAAUGCAAACAUUAUCACAGAACAAAAAUACAUGGCGACAGGUAUACAAAAAAUCACACAGACAAAACAGAUUAUGAAAAGUAAAAUAUAAUACAAAAAAUAUAGAAAAAUAACACAAUUACGGGAUUUUACAAAGCCACGUCAAAUAGAUAUCACCAAAAACAGAUCAAACAGUAAAAGUAAUAUUAAUAAACAACAAAUAAAAGAAUAAAAUAAAAUAACACGUUAUCAAGAUGAUAAACAACAUCAGUACGCAGAAUCUAUUCUUCAAGGACAUCGUGUAUUUUUAAUUUUCUUUUCUCACAAAUCUGGGCAAGGGUCCACAUCAAAACUCAAUGUGGGAUUAAAAGUUUAAUUGACGUAUAUUUUCCUUGACUCAACAUAUAUGAUGAAUGUUGCAUAAGAUGAAAGAAUAAUAAAAGUUAUGUGGUGAGUUUACAGAUCAAACUGAUAUCUAUUUUCUUUUAAAGAUAGGAACGAGAAGCCUGUGAUGUUUUAUGCAAAGAUUUCUGGAAGAUCGUUUACAUUACAGAUGCAAUCCACAGUUGUUUUUGAAACCGUGAUCCUCAACAUCGGUCACCAUUAUGAUCAAUAUGAUGGGAUAUUUGUUGCCCCAAGGAAAGGCGUCUACAUGUUUUCUUGGACCGUGUCUAUUGGUAGUGGGAAUUAUGUUGUAGCUGAACUUGUAGUUGAAGAAAAAAUUAUUGCAGGUUCAGGAAAUACCGAUAACAAUGGAGGACAUCAUUCUGCGUCCAUGACGGCAUUAUGUAGAAUGGAUAAAGAUGACCAUGCAUUUAUCAGAACUUCUAGUUAUUCCAGUGCAAACGUAUUCUAUAGUAAUCCAAACUAUCCACAAACGUCGUUUCUAGGAAUGCUUGUUUUCGAAGAAUAGUGAUCUUUUGCAAUGUACAUGUAUAUGAUGUUUUGCUUAAAUGGAGAAUAAUUAUGGUAAAUGCUUCUGUGUAUAUACGCAGCGUUAACAUUAUAAGUACUAGUAUACACAAUACACAGUACAUCGAUGCUGGCAUGAUAAAAUUGAUAUUGCUAAAUUGAAAUUUGCUGUUAUAAAAUGCUAGAAAUCAUUUUCAAUACAGAUAUGUAUCUUCCUUUUACGUAAAAUUAAAUCUUCUGCUGUGUUUGACUUUA
rnacentral:lncRNA from 1 species